rnacentral:rRNA from 1 species
GAAUGCUGACAUAAGUAACGAUAAAGCGGGUGAAAAGCCCGCUCGCCGGAAGACCAAGGGUUCCUGUCCAACGUUAAUCGGGGCAGGGUGAGUCGACCCCUAAGGCGAGGCCGAAAGGCGUAGUCGAUGGGAAACGGGUUAAUAUUCCCGUACUUGGUGUUACUGCGAAGGGGGGACGGAGAAGGCUAUGUUGGCCGGGCGACGGUUGUCCCGGUUUAAGCGUGUAGGCUGGUUUUCCAGGCAAAUCCGGAAAAUCAAGGCUGAGGCGUGAUGACGAGGCACUACGGUGCUGAAGCAACAAAUGCCCUGCUUCCAGGAAAAGCCUCUAAGCAUCAGGUAACAUCAAAUCGUACCCCAAACCGACACAGGUGGUCAGGUAGAGAAUACCAAGGCGCUUGAGAGAACUCGGGUGAAGGAACUAGGCAAAAUGGUGCCGUAACUUCGGGAGAAGGCACGCUGACACGUAGGUGAAGUGAUUUACUCAUGGAGCUGAAGUCAGUCGAAGAUACCAGCUGGCUGCAACUGUUUAUUAAAAACACAGCACUGUGCAAACACGAAAGUGGACGUAUACGGUGUGACGCCUGCCCGGUGCCGGAAGGUUAAUUGAUGGGGUCAGCGCAAGCGAAGCUCCUGAUCGAAGCCCCGGUAAACGGCGGCCGUAACUAUAACGGUCCUAAGGUAGCGAAAUUCCUUGUCGGGUAAGUUCCGACCUGCACGAAUGGCGUAAUGAUGGCCAGGCUGUCUCCACCCGAGACUCAGUGAAAUUGAACUCGCUGUGAAGAUGCAGUGUACCCGCGGCAAGACGGAAAGACCCCGUGAACCUUUACUAUAGCUUGACACUGAACAUUGAGCCUUGAUGUGUAGGAUAGGUGGGAGGCUUUGAAGUGUGGACGCCAGUCUGCAUGGAGCCGACCUUGAAAUACCACCCUUUAAUGUUUGAUGUUCUAACGUGGACCCGUAAUCCGGGUUGCGGACAGUGUCUGGUGGGUAGUUUGACUGGGGCGGUCUCCUCCUAAAGAGUAACGGAGGAGCACGAAGGUUGGCUAAUCCUGGUCGGACAUCAGGAGGUUAGUGCAAUGGCAUAAGCCAGCUUGACUGCGAGCGUGACGGCGCGAGCAGGUGCGAAAGCAGGUCAUAGUGAUCCGGUGGUUCUGAAUGGAAGGGCCAUCGCUCAACGGAUAAAAGGUACUCCGGGGAUAACAGGCUGAUACCGCCCAAGAGUUCAUAUCGACGGCGGUGUUUGGCACCUCGAUGUCGGCUCAUCACAUCCUGGGGCUGAAGUAGGUCCCAAGGGUAUGGCUGUUCGCCAUUUAAAGUGGUACGCGAGCUGGGUUUAGAACGUCGUGAGACAGUUCGGUCCCUAUCUGCCGUGGGCGCUGGAGAACUGAGGGGGGCUGCUCCUAGUACGAGAGGACCGGAGUGGACGCAUCACUGGUGUUCGGGUUGUCAUGCCAAUGGCACUGCCCGGUAGCUAAAUGCGGAAGAGAUAAGUGCUGAAAGCAUCUAAGCACGAAACUUGCCCCGAG